rnacentral:rRNA from 1 species
ACGGGAUUCAGUAGCUUGCUACUGAUGAGAGUGGCGCACGGGUGAGUAACGCGUAUGCAACCUACCUCUUACAGGGGGAUAGCCCGGAGAAAUCCGGAUUAAUAUCCCAUGGUAUUUAUUGUCCGCAUGGAUAGUAAAUUAAAGAUUUAUCGGUAAGAGAUGGGCAUGCGUGACAUUAGUUUGUUGGUGAGGUAACGGCUCACCAAGACUACGAUGUCUAGGGGUUCUGAGAGGAUGAUCCCCCACACUGGUACUGAGACACGGACCAGACUCCUACGGGAGGCAGCAGUGAGGAAUAUUGGUCAAUGGGCGCAAGCCUGAACCAGCCAUCCCGCGUGAAGGAAGACGGCCCUAUGGGUUGUAAACUUCUUUUCUGCACCAAGAAUGGGCCUUACGUGUAAGGUUUUGACGGUAGUGCAGGAAUAAGCAUCGGCUAACUCCGUGCCAGCAGCCGCGGUAAUACGGAGGAUGCAAGCGUUAUCCGGAUUCAUUGGGUUUAAAGGGUACGUAGGUGGCCCAGUAAGUCAGUGGUGAAAUCCUGCCGCUUAACGGUAGAACUGCCAUUGAUACUGCUGGGCUUGAGUACAGUUGAGGUAGGCGGAAUGUGUAGUGUAGCGGUGAAAUGCUUAGAUAUUACACAGAACCCCGAUUGCGAAGGCAGCUUACUAAACUGUAACUGACACUGAGGUACGAAAGCGUGGGGAGCGAACAGGAUUAGAUACCCUGGUAGUCCACGCCGUAAACGAUGCUCACUCGCUGUAUGCGAUACACAGUAUGCGGCCAAGCGAAAGUAUUAAGUGAGCCACCUGGGGAGUACGUUGGCAACAGUGAAACUCAAAGGAAUUGACGGGGGCCCGCACAA